CAACAGAACCAGACGCUCUCUCCCACCAAAUCCUGCCUUCUAAACUCAUUUUUGCCAUCAAUUUCACAAAAAACUUAUCCUAAACCCUUUGAUUUCUCACUUCCCAACAUAAACCCUAGUUCUUAAAAGUGAAAUUAAAUAACAACAGUGGGCGAAUUCGACCAAUUAGCUCAGGGCUAUGACUCAGGGAAUCAAGAAACACAUAAUGGUGAAUAAAAAUUAAAGCAAACCGAAGUAGUGUUCAUACCUGACUGGAGCCUUAGAAUUCUCCGACUUUGGCUUGAAUGUGACAAUUGCUUGAAGUAGCAUGAAACUUGGAUGAAGAUGCUAAAAUGGCAAUGGAGUUUGAAGAUGGAAAAUGAAGCAAGUGACGGUGAUUGUAGAAAUGAAGAGUUGGACAUGUUUGUGCUUUGUUUUAGGUUUUAGGAACUUGAAUGCAGUUUGCUUGUAAUGGCUUAUACUUGGCACCAUAUGACCUUCUACUAUUUUUUUAGUUCAAGAGAUUUGUACCAUUCGUGAACCAAGUGCAACAUGAUGUUGUAACUCAAAUGCAAAUGAAAUUCCAAUUUGUUUCCAAUCAA